rnacentral:tRNA from 1 species
CCGUAGCUCAGAGGUAGAGCACCUGCAUGGUAAGCAGGUGGUCAUGGGUUCGAUUCCCAUCGGU